CGCACCUGGCUUUAAACCCUCCUCCAACCUGGCAAACAGGGGUGGGGGAGGGGGAGGGGGAGUAAUGGGGGGAAUAAGGUGGUGGAGGGGGUGGGGUGUGGUUGGGGUGGGGAAGGGUGUGGAGGGGAGGGGGAGGGUGAGGAACAAUAAUAAAUACACAGUUUGCCCCCUGGUGCAGCACUCCCUCUUGUCACUGGUAUAUGGAGGAUGAUUCAGAGGGUACUGGUCUUCGUGAGUAGUAAUAGAACGGGCUUUAUUUCUUGAAGCCAACCAGAUUUGGGUCCCCGCUCUUCUCCCAGCGACUUCCCCCACCCAACCCCCCACUCACACAACCCAACCUCACUUUCCUAAAAGAACCCUGACUCUGCGCUAGGCAGCAACAGCGGCGGCAGCGACGGCAAAGUGGUGCAUGGGGCUGUUAAGGCCGAGUAAACUCGUGGGCUCUUGUCCAUGCCCAGAACCGGAGGAAAGGAAGAGCCCCAGGAAGGACCGGGCUGGGGGUGCUCUAGGAAAGAGGUGACUGUGGCAGGUUCCAGUCCAAUUUGUGCGUCCCCUCCUCUGCUGGGCUCCUCGUAGUUCUGUUUGUUGGAGGGGUAAGGAGAGGGAAGCUAUGCUGGGGCAGUUCGGGACGGGAGCAGCCCGUAAAGUGGGAGACUCUUGGCCUUUGAAAAAUCAAAUCAGAUCUGGGGGAACCUUCGAUUAUUCGUGGUGCCCCUAGGAAGGACUAUGCUAAUAGCAAUCUGAUGGAGGAAAUAAAGCCUUUUCUUCUCCUGGAAAAGUGCAGUGGAGCGCGGUGGUGACUAGCUCAGUGCACUCCCGAGAGGCGGGGAGCUGUCCUUAUCAAUUCGAGCUCAUUUCCCCCACCCUGGCCCUGCCCGCUCCCCUGGUUCUCAAACUGUUGGCUGUUCCUUCCGCCACUCAGUUUUGCUAAUCUUGCAAAGAUGCUCUGAAACCUGGCGGAGGUUACCUCCCGCCCCCUAGAAUUUCCAAGCCUUGAAGUUUAGCGCUCUCCACUUGGAUCAGAGUUAGCACCUGGGCUGCUUUAGGUUAGGGGGAGGGUCCCUUGUCCUGGCGUUUCUUUCGCUUGGGCAGAAGGCGCUGUCACUUUAACUCUGGGCUGAGGAGAAAAAGACCCUCUGUGCCCACAUCCCGCUCCAAAGAGCGCUGCUGCUACUGCUGUUGCUGCUGCUGCUGCCGCCGCCGCCGCUGCCGCCGCCGCCGCCGCCGCCGCCGCCGCCGCCACCGCCGCCACUGCCGCUCCCCGUCAGAGGGAUCCCACAGAGACCUGCUCCUUCCAUUGCAGAUCACUCUGUCCUGGCACCGGCACUUGAGCUCCUUCCUUUUGACUAGAGACUGGCUGGCGACUUUGCUGCUGAGCUGAAACUGCUAAUUUCUGUGACCAGCUUUUUUCUUAGCUGUGAUCUGGAUGAAUGAGUAGCUGUCUCACAGAGAUGACAAAAAUAAACUCUAAUCCCCCCCAAAAUUUCCACUACAUCUUUCUCAUGCAUAGAUUUAUGAUCUUCUGUGCAAUAUGCAAACUUUUUGUGUGUGUAUAUUGUACAUGCUGUUGUUUUCAGAUUUCACUCCAUUUGCUUUCUGUUCUUUCCCUUCCCCCCAUGAGAUGGAAACAAUGUCUGAUCUCCACAUAUGAUAUAAUAUUACUUUAUACCGUUUUUGUAUUUAUAGGUUGGGUCUAGUAUAGAUCACACUGAUCCUGGCUUUAGAGGUGGGUGGCUACUAUGUGAAACAGGGGUGGGUGAGAAUAGGGCUGGCAUAAGUGAGAAGCCCUUCCCUUUACAUUUGCUCCCCUGCACUAUUCAAGAUUUAUGAUCUUGUUUGAAGGCAUAUUUUCUCUAUCGUUUUGUCUGGUUAGACAACCGUCUCUGAACUUCACUGUCAGCUCUUCAACAGAUAAGGGUUCAGAAGUCACAUUUUUUUUUUUUAUUGGAAGAUUAGCAUAUUGUCAGAUUUGUCUUUCAGUCUGAGAAUCUUUCUUUGCUUUGUAGGAGUGAGAAUCAAACCACAGGAAAAGCAGCUGCUGUUCCACCAGCAUAACCUUUCAACUUCUGGGCACAUCUGACUGGAAAGGGAGCCAUGGCCAGCUUAGAGUUUUGACUCCAAGCAUUGACAACUAAAACCGGGAGGUUUCUGUCACUUUGGUUCUGCUAUGGACUAAGUGCCUACUCUAUGCAGAUCAAUGUGAUAGACACCAGAGGAGCUACAAUAUCUGGGAGAAGAAGGCUUUUGGAGACUAAUAUUAAUACAGCCAACGGGAUUUCUUGGAUGACCUCCUGAAAUCACAAUGAUUGUGAUUAAUCAAAUUCACAAUGGAAGGAAAAAAACAGGCCAAAGCAUCUUAAUAUAGUCUGACCUUACUUCCAGUAAUCACUGCUAUCCAAUGGCCACUGGGUGGCCUGUGAGAAUUAAAGUGGAAAUAGGUAUACCUCCUAUAAAAUUGUCUUUGAUUAAGCUGGAUAUGUGGUAGUAUGGGUGGAGUAAAAGUUUGGGAGCUAGCCUCAGAGGUAGGAAAACCUUGCUGCAAAGUCCUGUCUCUGACACCUAUUAGCUUUUUGUCCAAAGGAAAAUUAACCUUUCCAUGUCCUAGUUAAUCCUAUAUUUCAGAAAAGGAUAUGAAGAAUUUCAUCACUGGGUGUUGUCCAUAGACCCAAUCUGUAAUUCAAUUUCUAAUCACUAAAUAAAAAUGCACUUUAAUGUGUAAACUUGCUAGGAAGUUGCUGGGCUCUUCCCACCAGCAUAACCCUAGGACCCAGAACAGGAUUUUGUUCUUUAUUCCUUAGCUUCAGGCAUAGUUUGAAAUACCUUUUUGUACUCUUAGAUGAGUCAGUUCAAAGUCAAUGCCCAACUACUCUCCUACUCUAACGCUGUUAGAGAAAACAUUCUAAACUCCAUAAUCCACAAUCUUCUCUUAUAAUCAAUUACCCAAUUACACUUAUUAUAUAAGUGACACUAGGGCUCUGCUGCAUCAUGCUAGGAGAUGGAUUAUUCUUUGCUAAGAUAUGGAUGAGAGCUUUCAAAAGAAUCCAGACUCAAGUAAGGCAUGAUCUUUAGCUAAAGCUUAAAUGGGAGGUUUUGGUAUUUUUAAGAUAUAGUUAUCUUUUCCCCAUCCACUUCUAAUAUAUCAUUGAAUUCUUGAAUUCCUCCAUUCACUCUCAGAAAGUGUCUGCUUCAGUCCAGGUCAGUGAAAUACCAAUUCUCCUCAAAUCAUCAGUUUCAAGUUGGUCAAUUACCCACAUAUUUAUAAGUUAUUUAGUCUCUUUCCUCUUUUCUCUGGUGAACUUUCAUCCAUUGCUAGCCACAAGCUAAGAUCUAAGACGUAUCCUUGAUGAUUUGACUUUUCAUAUUUUUAAACUUUGGGUUUCUUUGUAUGUCCCUGUGAUCCGUCUCAUUAUAGCAUCCUCCCUGGCUUCCAUAUUAGGGUGUCAAAUUUCUGUAAAGACCAAACAAUUUGUGUUAAGUUAUUACAUUGUUCUUGUAGAAUCAAUUAGCCUGCAAUGGUGCUUUCACUGUUUUUGCCAAACCAAUUCAAGAUAUUUGGUGGAAUGUAAAUGUCAUAGAUUCUCUACAAUUUAUAAAAUCUUGCUUCUGAAAGAAAACUCAGAAAAUAUAAUAGUCUCUCUCAUUCAUCAGGUUUUACAAUUUUCUCAUAAAAACCCUUUGGAAUAGUGCAAGAUUAUUGUUAUUAUUUUACAAAUUAGAAAACUGAAGUUAAGA